AAUUUUUAACCAUUUUUGUCGAGCCUGCAACUUUUGUUGCAGAAAGCUCGACAUAGGGAUAGUGAUCCGGCGGCGGCUACGGCGGCGGCGGCGUUAGCUAACUUCUUAAAACCUUUAUAUUUUAGAAGGUGGAAGACCUGGAUGCUUCAUACUUUGUAUAUAGAUGCCUCAUGUUACGAAAUUUCCGUCAGUCACAUGUCCAAUGUCCUUGACCUCAUUUUCAUGGUUCAGUGACCACUUGAAAAAAAAGUUCAGAUUUUUUGUAAUGUUGAAUUCUCUCUUAUAAUAAGUAAUAGGAUAACUAUAUUUGAUAUGUGCGUACCUUGCAAGGUCUUCAUGUCUGUCAGACAGUUUUCACUUGACCUCGACCUCAUUUCAUGGAUCAGUGAACAAGGUUAAGUUUUGGUGGUCAAGUCCAUAUCUCAGAUACUAUAAGCAAUAGGGCUAGUAUAUUCGGUGUAUGGAAGGACUGUAAGGUGUACAUUUCCAACUGGCAGGUGUCAUCUGACCUUGACCUCAUUUUCAUGGUUCAGUGGUUAUAGUUAAAUUUUUGUCGAGCCUGCAACUUUUGUUGCAGAAAGCUCGACAUAGG
rnacentral:lncRNA from 1 species